rnacentral:misc_RNA from 1 species
GCAAUAAUGUAUCAUAAAUAGAAUAAAAUCAAUUCCAAGACAUCAGUCAGAGAAUAUUGGGAUAAUUAUCAUGCACGGUCACUUAACUUUAUGAGUAUUUUUAUAAAAAUCACUGAAUUUUAAUAUCUUUCAUAGAAUUCAUUGAACUUCAAUUUAAUUUUAUAAAAGUCACUAUAAUAGAAAAUAAAAAGUUUUCAUAUUAACCUGUUGACCUAUCAACUAUUUUCCAAAUAAAAUUACCUAACUAGUGGUUAAUGAUGGAGAAAAAACGGAGAAAGGGGAGGGGUUUGAUGAUAAGGGGGAAGUUGGAUGCGUUUUAU